rnacentral:rRNA from 1 species
UCGGGAAUUUUGGGCAAUGGGCGAAAGCCUGACCCAGCAACGCCGCGUGAAGGAUGAAGUCUCUCGGGAUGUAAACUUCGUAAGAAUAGGAAGAAUAAAUGACGGUACUAUUUGUAAGGUCCGGCUAACUACGUGCCAGCAGCCGCGGUAAUACGUAGGGACCAAGCGUUGUUCGGAUUUACUGGGCGUAAAGCGCACGUAGGUGGAUACUUAAGUCGGAUGUGAAAGCCCUGGGCUUAACCUGGGAACUGCAUCCGAUACUGGGUGUCUAGAGUAUGGUAGAGGGAAGUGGAAUUUCCGGUGUAGCGGUGAAAUGCGUAGAUAUCGGAAAGAACACCAGUGGCGAAGGCGGCUUCCUGGACCAAUACUGACACUGAGGUGCGAAAAGCGUGGGGAGCAAACAGGAUUAGAUACCCACGUAGUCCCUGAGCGGGCUGGCAAGGCGCAU